rnacentral:rRNA from 1 species
GAGUUUGAUCUUGGCUCAGGACGAACGCUGGCGGCGUGCCUAAUACAUGCAAGUCGAGCGGAUCUUCAUUAGCUUGCUUUUGAAGAUCAGCGGCGGACGGGUGAGUAACACGUGGGCAACCUGCCUGUAAGACUGGGAUAACUUCGGGAAACCGGAGCUAAUACCGGAUAAUCCUUUUCCUCUCAUGAGGAAAAGCUGAAAGACGGUUUCGGCUGUCACUUACAGAUGGGCCCGCGGCGCAUUAGCUAGUUGGUGAGGUAACGGCUCACCAAGGCGACGAUGCGUAGCCGACCUGAGAGGGUGAUCGGCCACACUGGGACUGAGACACGGCCCAGACUCCUACGGGAGGCAGCAGUAGGGAAUCUUCCGCAAUGGACGAAAGUCUGACGGAGCAACGCCGCGUGAGCGAUGAAGGCCUUCGGGUCGUAAAGCUCUGUUGUCAGGGAAGAACGAACGUAUCGGAGUAACUGCCGGUACC